ensembl:lncRNA
CCUCAUUUGGUUUUUAAUUUCUUCAUUUCUGAAAUAUGUCUCUCUCUGGAUAUGUGCAUGUGUUCCUGCUUUGCUUUUUUGAUUGUCCCAUCAUGUCUGAGCAAGGGGAGAGAAGUGUCCAGGUGGGCAUUCUCAAUUUUACCUGUGCCUUCCUCCUGGCAGCCUUCACCCAUGAACAGUCAACUGUGCCACACAUUGGGCCACCUGUGACCAUGCACCAGACCACAGCCACCUCCUCCAUCAGCAGCACCUUCAGGACCUCUGUCUCCACAGAAGUGCCUCUGGAAACCUCUCCAAAUCCCAGCUCUCUGCCUGCCCCCAGCAGCCCGCUCAGCACCCGGCUGCCAUCCACUGCCACGUCUCCAUUCUCUUCUGCUUUGGCCUCAACCGUCAGUACAACAUCCGUGCCUACAUCUCUGACUACUUCCACAUUUAGGUCUACUGAGAGCACGACACAUCCUUACUUCCAAAACACCACAUCGACUCCACACGGCAAAACAUCUUCAUUCGCUGUCCCUACCAGUAUCUCUGCCCAGUCUAGGCCAGCGUUGAUCCCAACUGUUUUGUCUACAACUAUUACCUUUGCUCCCCAUGUUAUCACAACGGCUUCUACAGAGUCAGUUGAACAGAGUUCCCUGCGAACAACAACACUGACCACUGCCCGCACGACAUCAUCUCCUCCUCUCACCUCUGGACUUUCAACAUCCCUGUCCUCUGUUGUGCCAUCAACAGUGCCGCACGAGCAUUGUAGAGAAGUUGAAUAUGAAGAAGAAAUAACUUACAAAGGCUGUUCCACAAAUGUCACUUUGAGCCGUUGUGAAGGAUCAUGUUCCUCUUCAACAAAGUAA